rnacentral:rRNA from 1 species
GAUGAACGCUAGCUACAGGCUUAACACAUGCAAGUCGAGGGGUAACGAGAGGGAAGCUUGCUUUCCUUGUCGACGACCGGCGCACGGGUGAGUAACGCGUAUCCAACCUGCCCCCAACUAGGGAAUAACCUUGCGAAAGUAAGACUAAUACCCUAUAAUUUCCUCAGAUGUCAUCUGACGAGGAAUAAAGAUUUAUCGGUUGUGGAUGGGGAUGCGUCUGAUUAGCUUGUUGGCGGGGUAACGGCCCACCAAGGCAACGAUCAGUAGGGGUUCUGAGAGGAAGGUCCCCCACCUUGGAACUGAGACACGGUCCAAACUCCUACGGGAGGCAGCAGUGAGGAAUAUUGGUCAAUGGGCGGAAGCCUGAACCAGCCAAGUAGCGUGCAGGAUGACGGCCCUAUGGGUUGUAAACUGCUUUUAUACAGGAAUAAAGUUAGCCACGUGUGGUUAUUUGUAGGUACUGUGUGAAUAAGGACCGGCUAAUUCCGUGCCAGCCGCCGCCGUAA